UACGUAGGUGGCAAGCGUUGUCCGGAAUUAUUGGGCGUAAAGCGCGCGCAGGCGGUCUUUUAAGUCUGAUGUGAAAGCCCACGGCUCAACCGUGGAGGGUCAUUGGAAACUGGGGGACUUGAGUGCAGGAGAGAAGAGUGGAAUUCCACGUGUAGCGGUGAAAUGCGUAGAGGUGUGGAGGAACACCAGUGGCGAAGGCGACUCUUUGGCCUGUAACUGACGCUGAGGCGCGAAAGCGUGGGGAGCAAACAGG
rnacentral:rRNA from 1 species